AAAUGAAUAGACGGGUCCCCGCACAAGCGGUGGAGGAUGUGGUUUAAUUCGAAGCAACGCGAAGAACCUUACCAAGGCUUGAACCGCAGGGUAAACUCAUUGAAAGAUGAGGUGCUUCGGCAAUCCUGUAGAGGUGCUGCAUGGCUGUCGUCAGCUCGUGUCGUGAGAUGUUGGGUUAAGUCCCUCAACGAGCGCAACCCUUGCCCUUAGUUACCAGCAUUUCGGAUGGGGACUCUAAGGGGACUGCCGCCGUAAGGCGGAGGAAGGUGGGGAUGACGUCAAGUCCUCAUGGCCCUUAUGUCUUGGGCUACACACGUCCUACAAUGGCCGGUACAGCGAGCAGCAAAACCGCGAGGUUGAGCGAAUCUCUUAAAGCCGGUCCCAGUUCAGAUUGCAGUCUGCAACUCGACUGCAUGAAGGCGGAAUCGCUAGUAAUCGCGGAUCAGCACGCCGCGGUGAAUACGUUCCCGGGGAUUGUACACACCGCCCGU
rnacentral:rRNA from 1 species